GAGGAACGCUAGCGAUAGGCUUAACACAUGCAAGUCGAGGGGCAGCAUGGUCUUAGCUUGCUAAGACUGAUGGCGACCGGCGCACGGGUGCGUAACGCGUAUGCAACUUGCCUCACAGGGGGGGUAAACCCGUCGAAAGAGGGAUUAUUACCGCGUAACCUUGGAGGGAGGCAUCCCCCAUCAAGGAAAAAAAAUUCGCUGUGAGAUAGGCAUGCGUCCCAUUAGCUAGUUGGUGAGGUAACGGCUCACCAAGGCAACGAUGGGUAGGGGAACUGAGAGGUUGAACCCCCACACUGGUACUGAGACAUGGACCAGACUCCUACGGGAGGCAGCAGUGAGGAAUAUUGGUCAAUGGGCGAGAGCCUGAACCAGCCAAGUCGCGUGAAGGAUGACUGUCUUAUGGAUUGUAAACUUCUUUUGUAGGGGAAUAAAGAACGGUACGUGUACCGUAGUGAAUGUACCCUACGAAUAAGCAUCGGCUAACUCCGUGCCAGCCGCCGCAGUAA
rnacentral:rRNA from 1 species